CUGACAUUUUAUGUUCGUUUCGAAACUGUAAAGACCCAAAACUGUUGGAGAAGUUUAUGUUAUGCUGUUUGCAGUCCAUAAUACAAAUAUGGAACAAGUUAUAGAGGAUUGAAAAGCAGAACAAAACGAUUUAGGUGUAAAACUAUCAUAAACUGUUAGGUUUAACACUUUUAUAUCAGUCAUUAAAAGACUUAAGAUAAUGUUUAUCAGUUUAUAUGUUUAUUAAACCCAAUCAAAAUGGGUUUUUGCAUACAAUGCACUAUUUGCGCAACAUUUUAGAUUCACACGAAUUUCAAAAACGUUUCCAUUGGCCCGUACUAAAUAGAGGCCGCCUUCCGCACAACUACUGUCGAGUACCUUAAACACGUACAUAAGAAAGAUAACUUGAAUUGGCAGAAUAUAAAAUUGUAUCUUGUCGUUCUCGUAGGUUUGUGAUACAGCGGUUAACAAAGAACAGAAGAAGCAAGCUAGUGGCAUUCCUAUUGAUCCGAAGUUCACGCAAAAUGUUAAUGUUCACUUUAUGGUUCGUAAGAAUAUCUUCUGACCUCGAUAUUAGAACUGAAGAACUACAGGAAAGAAUAAAAUACACGAAAUUAGAAUUUAGGCUCAUAUCUGAUGUCAAGAGGUAAAAAAUGUCUUAAAUUUCGAAACCAUGGAGUCUAAUUGCAAAAAAAUAAUUGUCACGAAUUUGUCUAAGAAAAGUGAACAAAAGUUAUUAAUUAAUAUGGAGCAAACAGAAGGUAUGACAAAGUAUAGUUAUGAUUACUCUUAUUUAAAUGAUAAUUGAA